AACGGGAUCUUCGGAUCUAGUGGCGGACGGGUUAGUAACGCGUGGGAACGUACCCUUUUCUACGGAAUAGCCUCGGGAAACUGAGAGUAAUACCGUAUACGCCCUUCGGGGGAAAGAUUUAUCGGAGAAGGAUCGGCCCGCGUAAGAUUAGAUAGUUGGUGGGGUAAUGGCCUACCAAGUCUACGAUCUUUAGCUGGUUUGAGAGGAUGAUCAGCAACACUGGGACUGAGACACGGCCCAGACUCCUACGGGAGGCAGCAGUGGGGAAUCUUGGACAAUGGGCGCAAGCCUGAUCCAGCCAUGCCGCGUGAGUGAUGAAGGCCUUAGGGUCGUAAAGCUCUUUCGCCAGGGAUGAUAAUGACAGUACCUGGUAAAGAAACCCCGGCUAACUCCGUGCCAGCAGCCGCGGUAAUACGGAGGGGGUUAGCGUUGUUCGGAAUUACUGGGCGUAAAGCGCACGUAGGCGGACUAAUCAGUCAGAGGUGAAAUCCCAGGGCUCAACCCUGGAACUGCCUUUGAUACUGUUAGUCUAGAGUUCGAGAGAGGUGAGUGGAAUUCCGAGUGUAGAGGUGAAAUUCGUAGAUAUUCGGAGGAACACCAGUGGCGAAGGCGGCUCACUGGCUC
rnacentral:rRNA from 1 species